GUCAGUCCCGUUCGUGCCGUGGUCAUCCACAGGUAAGAGGCACCAUAGGUGCCCGCCACGGCCGUUCUCCCAAGAGGGAGAACAAGCGGGACAGGAGGA
rnacentral:ncRNA from 1 species